rnacentral:tRNA from 1 species
GCGGAUGAGGUCCCAGUGGAGGGACGCCUGGCUUCCAACCAGGAGGCGGCGGGUUCGAACCCCGUCAUCCGCU